rnacentral:misc_RNA from 1 species
GAUGAAGAACGUAGCGAAAUGCGAUAAGUAAUGUGAAUUGCAGAAUUCAGUGAAUCAUCGAAUCUUUGAACGCACAUUGCGCCCGCCAGUAUUCUGGCGGGCAUGCCUGUCUGAGCGUCAUUUCAACCCUCAUGCCCCUAGGGCGUGGUGUUGGGGAUCGGCCAAAGCCCGCGAGGGACGGCCGGCCCCUAAAUCUAGUGGCGGACCCGUCGUGGCCUCCUCUGCGAAGUAGUGAUAUUCCGCAUCGGAGAGCGAUGAGCCCCUGCCGUUAAACCCCCAACUUUCCAAGGUUGACCUCAGAUCAGGUAGGAAUACCCGCUGAACUUAAGCAUUUCAAUAAGCGGAGGA